rnacentral:rRNA from 1 species
UACAGAGGUCUCAAGCGUUGUUCGGAUUCAUUGGGCGUAAAGGGUGCGUAGGUGGCGCUGUAAGUCGGGUGUGAAAUUCGGAGCUUAACUCCGAAACUGCAUUCGAUACUGCGGUGCUUGAGGACUGGAGAGGAGACUGGAAUUCAUGGUGUAGCAGUGAAAUGCGUAGAGAUCAUGAGGAAGACCAGUGGCGAAGGCGGGUCGUCCUGGACAGUUCCUGACACUGAGGCACGAAGGCCAGGGGAGCAAACGGGG